ACACUGGUGAACAGGUGGUGCAUGGUUGUCGUCAGCUCGUGUCGUGAGAUGUUGGGUUAAGUCCCGCAACGAGCGCAACCCUCGUUCUAUGUUGCCAGCACGUAAUGGUGGGAACUCAUGGGAUACUGCCGGGGUCAACUCGGAGGAAGGUGGGGAUGACGUCAAAUCAUCAUGCCCCUUAUGUCUUGGGCUUCACGCAUGCUACAAUGGCCGGUACAAAGGGCUGCAAUACCGUGAGGUGGAGCGAAUCCCAAAAAGCCGGUCCCAGUUCGGAUUGAGGUCUGCAACUCGACCUCAUGAAGUCGGAGUCGCUAGU
rnacentral:rRNA from 1 species